CCGCAGCCUCCCCUUCCAGGCGGCCCCAGCCUGCGCCUUGCAGCUGGAGACAAAGGGCAGGCGGCGACCAAGGGGGGGCUGUGCCCCGAGACACUUGCAAGUCGCUAGUGGCUGUACCUCGGCACGCAGGCCAGGGCGGCCCCAGCCGCGCUCCGCUCGGCUCCGCUCGGCUGCGCUCGACUCUGCUCCGCUCGCAGUUGAAGAAAGCUCAAGUGACUUACUGAGGUCACACAGCUAGCCAGAGACAACUGUGGAGAACGUGAACCUGAACUUCUCACAUGCGCUUUUCUCACAGUUAUGUUCAUCCUGGAAAAUCAUCCUUGAACUGAAAGCAGUACAUCAAACUGCUCUACUUCUCUGAACAGAGAAGAGUAUUGAGGAAUGACACCAAGGAUCUUGAAAGUUUGGAGUGAGUCAGGUCUAUUUAUGGAGCUUUUAAAAAAUUAAGUGGCCCUGGGGCGCCUGGGUGGCUCCGUCGGUUAAGCAACCCACUCUUGAUUUCGGCCCAGGUCAUGAUCUCGCAGUUCGUGAGCUGAGCCCUGCGUCGGGCUCCUUGCUGACAGCUCAGAGCUUGCCCGGGAUUCUCUCUCUCUCUCCCUCUCUCUCUCUGCCCCCCCUUCAAAAUAAAUAAAUAAACUUAAAAAAAAAAUUAAGUGGCCCAGACCUACAACUUGAUAUUGAAAACAGCCUUGAGCGUAAAACACACUGCCCUUCCAAAUUCCAAGUUCCUCUGUGAACAUCCUACUACAUGCUGACUCAUCAUAUACAAACCAUAUGCAGAUGUUCUUUAACCCUGGGUUUCAAAAGAUCCCUACUUAGAAAAAGUUCUUAACCAUAUUCACCAAAUUCCUUACAUACCCUGAAAGCUUCCAGAACAAUUUCUCUUCUGGUCCUACUGGUC